AAUGAGCGGGAUGGUGCGGUCCUCGCGGAGCUGCUCCGACCUCCUGCCUGCCCUCUGCGCGCCCCGGCCGCCGGAGGAUGCUGCGUGGGCUCGGUUGUCCUGCCAUAAGUAGUAGAAAGUGCCCAGGAUCCAGGCUACGGUCAGGAUGGCGAUGGCAUUGGCGCGGAUCUUCCUCAUGGAAUGGACUCCAGCAGCAUCACAGAAUCAAAGCAACACCUAAGGAAUUCACUGUUUCUUCACAUACUUUGAACUGUGAAAACAAGAGUCAUCAUAAUAGCUGCAGUUUACUCAGUACCUACCAGGUACUGUCACCUAUACUGUCUCUAAAGCCCCUACAACCCUGAGCUAAGGAUGAUCAUAUCCCCAACUGCAGAUGAUGACACUGAAGCUCAACGGCUACUCAACUUGCCUGGAAUCCUACAGCAAAAUACUGCAUUGUGUCACAAGAAUUCAACUAUGUACUCAUGGAGAAGGAGGGAGAAAGCAAGGAAGGAAAAAAGAGAAAAGUAAUUUACAUAGUAACAGCAAUUCUGCUCAACAUUCCAUUCAGUGAGCCGAUACCCUGGAGUGCAGAAACUGUUAUGAAUGUACUCCACCAAGGCAAGAAAGGAAGAAGACAUGGAAUUUAAAAAACAGAGGAUCUACUAUGAAAGAGAAAGGUGAAGGGAAUUCCAGGCUGAUGGUAAAUGCAAAUUCCAGGAUGAGAGUUGGGCAGCAGGCCUAGAGUGCACUCCGUCCUGGGAGGAGCCAGAUGAUAGAGGGCUCUAGGAGAGAAGGCUCCAAGGGAAAAUGAAACAAGAGGAGGAGAAGAAACAGGCUUACGCUGAGCGAAUCCAAUGUGCAGACAGACACACAGGGAAGGUGACCAUUUGAAGACGGAGGCAGAAACUGAAGUUGUGCAACUGCAAACCAAGAAAUGCCAUGGAUUGCCAACAACCACCAGGAACUAGAAGAGGCAAGGUAAGGUUCAGCAAAGUCUAUGUCAUUCUCUAAUCCUUUUGAUCCAGCGGAUUCUUUGGAGGAAUUUGAAUACAUAUUGGAUUUUGCAUCCAGGUUUGCAAGAGGAAAAUACAAAGGUGACUUCUGGGCCUGCUGGAGGUGGAGGGUAGAGGAUGGACAGCUGACAUCUAGUCACAGAGGAAAGAACACAGAAAGAGAUCUCCAGUUAAAGCUGAUAGAUUGAACCACAGACAACCCACCUCCUUCUAAAAUCCCUCUAGAACAAUGGUUUAAAAAAAGUGCUUUAACAUAAAACUUCAAAAUCAAAAAGAUAAGGAAAAUGAUGAAAACCACUCAGAUAAGAAGAGAGGAUAUUUAUGCAGAGGCUGCUGUCGUUGGGAGUCCGCCACCAUACCACUAUACUUUGGUGAGACUUGAAGGCAGGCAGGGAGUGGAAACACUUUAUGCUGUAGUGAAAAAAGGGGAAGGCUUCGGUAUGCUCUGACUGGAGAUCAUUGUCAUGGGGAAACUGCAGGUGGGCUAACUAGAGGCUGGGCUUCUUGUGUAAUGGUUUGGCUUUCUCUGGUUGGUCCUGUGUUGAAAAUAGGGGCAAAAUAUAGGGAAGCUGACUCAUUGACCAAGCCCUGCCCAGGCUGGCCAAUUGCAGAGGUUGUGGGUCAGAGUUCUAUUGUCAUAUAUGGUCUGGCUACUGUCUGUUUAUAUAAUCCGUCUCUCAGAGAACAGUAGAGGAGAUCAAAUUAUUAACAUUUUGGAAGCUGGAAAGCAGGAGGAUAGUGUGAGCUGAAUUAGCAGACUUGCCAUCUAUCAAAGGGGAUAGCCAAAAGCAAGCCAGAUUUGCCCCAGAGAACCACCAAAGGUUCAAGAAUUGGCAGCACCAGGUACCCCCAGAAGCAGGGAUAAAGUGGGGGCUGAAAUUGGACAGUUGGUUCAAAGUCUAUUUCAGAAGCAUUAGACCACUGGAUUUCUUCCCCAGCUCCCAAAUGACUGCCUGGUGCAAAAGACUCAGGAUUGAUUCCCUGGAGAGGGUAGGUAGUUCUUUGUCUAGUUAAGGAUGGGAUGCCAUAACAAACAUGCCAAUUCAGUGAAAGUACCUACUUUCAAGACUCCUGCUUAACUCCCCUAAAUCAGCAGCCAAUGUUAGAAGCCAAGUGUUAAAGUUUUUCAGAUAAUUUUGCUAUAAGCCUAUGGAGAAAUUUCAUUACCAUCUCAUAGCAAGGCCUAUAGUAUAAGAGCAGGCCUAUAGUAGCAUAUGGGGGAAAGUCUAAAAGACUUUGAAAUGGACCAAAAGAUUAUUGAGAAAUGGAAAACUGCAUUGUUUUAAGUAUCCCUUUCCAACUUAUCAGAUUCUGUGGGGUUUAUACCUUUCAUUGUCUUUGAGGUAUUUAACAAUUCUAAAGAGAUAGACUCUAACUUGUAGAAAACUAAGAGUAACAUAAAUAAUUAUCGUCUUUAGAUAUACAAAUAAAUUCUGUUCUGAGAA
rnacentral:lncRNA from 1 species